rnacentral:rRNA from 1 species
GGGUUGUGAGGUUAAGCGACUAAGCGUACACGGUGGAUGCCCUGGCAGUCAGAGGCGAUGAAGGACGUGCUAAUCUGCGAUAAGCGUCGGUGAGGUGAUAUGAACCGUUAUAACCGGCGAUUUCCGAAUGGGGAAACCCAGUGUGAUUCGUCACACUAUCAUUAACUGAAUCCAUAGGUUAAUGAGGCGAACCGGGGGAACUGAAACAUCUAAGUACCCCGAGGAAAAGAAAUCAACCGAGAUUCCCCCAGUAGCGGCGAGCGAACGGGGAGGAGCCCAGAGCCUGAAUCAGUGUGUGUGUUAGUGGAAGUGUCUGGAAAGGCGCGCGAUACAGGGUGACAGCCCCGUACACAAAAAUGCACAUAUUGUGAGCUCGAUGAGUAGGGCGGGACACGUGGUAUCCUGUCUGAAUAUGGGGGGACCAUCCUCCAAGGCUAAAUACUCCUGACUGACCGAUAGUGAACCAGUACCGUGAGGGAAAGGCGAAAAGAACCCCGGCGAGGGGAGUGAAAAAGAACCUGAAACCGUGUACGUACAAGCAGUGGGAGCCUCUUAAUGGGGUGACUGCGUACCUUUUGUAUAAUGGGUCAGCGACUUAUAUUCUGUAGCAAGGUUAACCGAAUAGGGGAGCCGAAGGGAAACCGAGUCUUAACUGGGCGUUAAGUUGCAGGGUAUAGACCCGAAACCCGGUGAUCUAGCCAUGGGCAGGUUGAAGGUUGGGUAACACUAACUGGAGGACCGAACCGACUAAUGUUGAAAAAUUAGCGGAUGACUUGUGGCUGGGGGUGAAAGGCCAAUCAAACCGGGAGAUAGCUGGUUCUCCCCGAAAGCUAUUUAGGUAGCGCCUCGUGAAUUCAUCUCCGGGGGUAGAGCACUGUUUCGGCAAGGGGGUCAUCCCGACUUACCAACCCGAUGCAAACUGCGAAUACCGGAGAAUGUUAUCACGGGAGACACACGGCGGGUGCUAACGUCCGUCGUGAAGAGGGAAACAACCCAGACCGCCAGCUAAGGUCCCAAAGUCAUGGUUAAGUGGGAAACGAUGUGGGAAGGCCCAGACAGCCAGGAUGUUGGCUUAGAAGCAGCCAUCAUUUAAAGAAAGCGUAAUAGCUCACUGGUCGAGUCGGCCUGCGCGGAAGAUGUAACGGGGCUAAACCAUGCACCGAAGCUGCGGCAGCGACACUAUGUGUUGUUGGGUAGGGGAGCGUUCUGUAAGCCUGUGAAGGUGUACUGUGAGGUAUGCUGGAGGUAUCAGAAGUGCGAAUGCUGACAUAAGUAACGAUAAAGCGGGUGAAAAGCCCGCUCGCCGGAAGACCAAGGGUUCCUGUCCAACGUUAAUCGGGGCAGGGUGAGUCGACCCCUAAGGCGAGGCCGAAAGGCGUAGUCGAUGGGAAACAGGUUAAUAUUCCUGUACUUGGUGUUACUGCGAAGGGGGGACGGAGAAGGCUAUGUUGGCCGGGCGACGGUUGUCCCGGUUUAAGCGUGUAGGCUGGUUUUCCAGGCAAAUCCGGAAAAUCAAGGCUGAGGCGUGAUGACGAGGCACUACGGUGCUGAAGCGACAAAUGCCCUGCUUCCAGGAAAAGCCUCUAAGCAUCAGGUAACAUCAAAUCGUACCCCAAACCGACACAGGUGGUCAGGUAGAGAAUACCAAGGCGCUUGAGAGAACUCGGGUGAAGGAACUAGGCAAAAUGGUGCCGUAACUUCGGGAGAAGGCACGCUGAUAUGUAGGUGAAGCGACUUGCUCGUGGAGCUGAAAUCAGUCGAAGAUACCAGCUGGCUGCAACUGUUUAUUAAAAACACAGCACUGUGCAAACACGAAAGUGGACGUAUACGGUGUGACGCCUGCCCGGUGCCGGAAGGUUAAUUGAUGGGGUUAGCGGUAACGCGAGGCUCUUGAUCGAAGCCCCGGUAAACGGCGGCCGUAACUAUAACGGUCCUAAGGUAGCGAAAUUCCUUGUCGGGUAAGUUCCGACCUGCACGAAUGGCGUAAUGAUGGCCAGGCUGUCUCCACCCGAGACUCAGUGAAAUUGAACUCGCUGUGAAGAUGCAGUGUACCCGCGGCAAGACGGAAAGACCCCGUGAACCUUUACUAUAGCUUGACACUGAACAUUGAGCCUUGAUGUGUAGGAUAGGUGGGAGGCUUUGAAGUGUGGACGCCAGUCUGCAUGGAGCCGACCUUGAAAUACCACCCUUUAAUGUUUGAUGUUCUAACGUGGGCCCCUUACCGGGGUUGCGGACAGUGUCUGGUGGGUAGUUUGACUGGGGCGGUCUCCUCCUAAAGAGUAACGGAGGAGCACGAAGGUUGGCUAAUCCUGGUCGGACAUCAGGAGGUUAGUGCAAUGGCAUAAGCCAGCUUGACUGCGAGCGUGACGGCGCGAGCAGGUGCGAAAGCAGGUCAUAGUGAUCCGGUGGUUCUGAAUGGAAGGGCCAUCGCUCAACGGAUAAAAGGUACUCCGGGGAUAACAGGCUGAUACCGCCCAAGAGUUCAUAUCGACGGCGGUGUUUGGCACCUCGAUGUCGGCUCAUCACAUCCUGGGGCUGAAGUAGGUCCCAAGGGUAUGGCUGUUCGCCAUUUAAAGUGGUACGCGAGCUGGGUUUAGAACGUCGUGAGACAGUUCGGUCCCUAUCUGCCGUGGGCGCUGGAGAACUGAGGGGGGCUGCUCCUAGUACGAGAGGACCGGAGUGGACGCAUCACUGGUGUUCGGGUUGUCAUGCCAAUGGCACUGCCCGGUAGCUAAAUGCGGAAGAGAUAAGUGCUGAAAGCAUCUAAGCACGAAACUUGCCCCGAGAUGAGUUCUCCCUGACUCCUUGAGAGUCCUGAAGGAACGUUGAAGACGACGACGUUGAUAGGCCGGGUGUGUAAGCGCAGCGAUGCGUUGAGCUAACCGGUACUAAUGAACCGUGAGGCUUAACCUUACAACGCCGAAG